rnacentral:rRNA from 1 species
UACGGAGGAUGCAAGGGUUAUCCGGAAUUACUGGGUGUAAAGGGUGUGUAGGCGGGAAGACAAGUCAGACGUGAAAACUUAGGGCUCAACUCUAAGCCUGCGUUUGAAACUGUUUUUCUUGAGAGUGGGAGAGGUAAACGGAAUUCCUGGUGUAGUAGUGAAAUGCGUAGAUAUCAGGAGGAACACCGGUGGCGAAGGCGGUUUACUGGACCACAACUGACGCUGAGACACGAAAGCGUGGGGAGCAAAC